rnacentral:rRNA from 1 species
CUCGAGGCCAGAUCUUUCCGGUUGAUCCCGCCGGACCUGACUGCUAUCGGAUUGGUACUAAGCCAUGUGAGUCAUUGUAGCAAUACAAGGCAGACGGCUCAGUAACACAUAGUCAAUCUAUCCUAUGGACGGGGAUAACCUCGGGAAACUGAGGAUAAACCCCGAUAGAUCAUUAUGCCUGGAACGGUUUAUGGUCCAAACGAUUCGUCGCCGUAGUGUGGGACUGCGGCCUAUCAGUUUGUUGGUGAGGUAAUGGCCCACCAAGACUAUUACAGGUACGGGCUCUGAGAGGAGAAGCCCGGAGAUGGGUACUGAGACACGGACCCAGGCCCUAUGGGGCGCAGCAGGCGAGAAACCUUUGCAAUGUGCGCAAGCACGACAAGGUUAAUCCGAGUGUUUCCUGCUAAAGGAAUCUUUUGUUAGUUGUAAAACCACUAAUGAAUAAGGGGUGGGCAAGUUCUGGUGUCAGCCGCCGCGGUAAAACCAGCACCUCAAGUGGUCAGGAUGAUUAUUGGGCCUAAAGCAUCCGUAGCCUGUUCUGUAAGUUUUCGGUUAAA